AUACAUAUAAAUAAAUAAUUUUUUUACCUUAAUAUAAUAAGAGACUUAAAUAUCGAAUAAAAGGAAUUCAUAGGAAAAUUGAAAAUGGUUUGAAACUGUGGCAAAGCAACGCGGCUGAUUUUUCAAUCCCUAAAUUUUUCACUGGCGCCCAUAUUUCAUCUCUUCCCUCUUUUGUCUUUUCUUUUCCUUUUCUCGCCAAAACAAUCCUAAACCCAAAUCAGUAAUUUGCAGUUGCACAAAUCAUCAAUUUCCUCAACACUAUCCUUUUCCCUUUUGUUUGAAUCAUGAACUCGAAUCUGGUUGUGCCCUAAAAUCAUGAAGAAAUCAGCCAAAGAGAAGAAAUCCAUUAACCCUAAUCCCUAAUCGUUUNN
rnacentral:lncRNA from 1 species